rnacentral:rRNA from 1 species
UACAGAGGUGGCAAGCGUUGUUCGGAAUUACUGGGCGUAAAGGGCGCGUAGGCGGCCAUCUAAGUCAGACGUGAAAUCCCCCGGCUUAACCUGGGAACUGCGUCCGAUACUGGUGGGCUUGAAUCCGGGAGAGGGAUGCGGAAUUCCAGGUGUAGCGGUGAAAUGCGUAGAUAUCAGGAGGAACACCGGUGGCGAAGGCGGUUCGCUGGGCAUUACCUGACGCUGAGGCACGAAAGCGUGGGGAGCAAACAGG